rnacentral:rRNA from 1 species
GACGUAGGGCGCGAGCGUUGUCCGGAUUUAUUGGGCGUAAAGAGCUCGUAGGCGGCUUGUUGCGUCGACUGUGAAAACCCGCGGCUUAACUGCGGGCUUGCAGUUGAUACGGGCAGGCUAGAGUUCGGUAGGGGAGACUGGAAUUCCUGGUGUAGCGGUGAAAUGCGCAGAUAUCAGGAGGAACACCGGUGGCGAAAGCGGCUUCCUGGCCCGACACUGACGCUCAUGUACGAAAGCGUGGGGAGCAAACAGG